UCUUGACUAGUAUAUCGGUUCAGUACACCCGCUUGUCAUCAUCUUGGAGCUGACAGAUUUCCGCGGGAGAGCAGGGUUCGACUCCCUGGUCGAGAG